rnacentral:sRNA from 1 species
GCAUCUUUCACAUGCUGUCAGUUUAGACCUCUCAGUUUGGUGAUAACGAGGAUUGGCUAUUCUUUGAAUGGUAUUUGCUAGGCAAAGAGGUGGGUCUGACAGAUGAGGGCAGAUCUGCACACCGGGAGCUCUAGGACACCUGAAGUUGAAUUCAUGCAAUGUGGUUUUGCACCACAGAUCCAGUGAAACCAACUUUGUUAAUGUCUGAAGGGAAGAAUCAGCUGUGUGUUUCGAUCUAAGGUCUUCCAAUAGAAAUGAUCUUCAUGGGUUUCUUUGUUUGGAUUUACAUGACAUUUGGUAAAGACUUCUUACUCUGGCCUCUGGGUAGCCUUUGCCCAACUUACCUAUGGCACAUAGCUGUCUUUAUCUGUAUACCCCUUCUGCAAUGGCAACCUGGUAUAAUUAUAAUUUUCUUUUUAGUGUAGUCAAAAAUGGGACUUGCUGGAUCUUGAGACAAGAGUCAUGGCUAACGAAGAUGGCCGAAGCUGCCUGUGAAGUCUCACAAGUCACGAAUGAACAAUGUGUCAGAACAGUGUAGCUAGUCACCAAGGGAGGACAAACUAUCUGCCUAUGGCUAAUCACUUGCCUGAAAAUGUCUUUAUGGAGAACCAGGACAUUUUUAUGUGUAAUUCUUGACAAAUCCUAUUUAUAGGGUUUGAUUCUAUACCCCAAUUCUGUUAAGUUGAAGCAAGCUUGACUUAUUUUAAGAUUAUUGUCCAUAUCACCUGGGUGAUACGUGGAGAUUUCUAUCUGUAACAAAAUAAGGCAUAAGGCACGGUGAACAGCAGUGCGUUUUCUCCAUGUUGUGAUAUCAACAUUUUUAUUUCCAAAUUCUGUAAAAAUAUAUCCCUUAUUUCCAGAGGAACCUCAUCAAGUAGCUAUCGGCACAGCAGAACUAGACAAUGUGAUAAGUUUGACCAUUGGAUGCUGAAGGGAACUGGAUCAGGCACUCCUGGAGCCAUCUUUAGAUGGGAGGAAAUCCGCUGGCUCUGGCCAAGGGAACACUCACCCACCAUUUUUUUUUUCCUCUUCUCUCACAACAAAUGCAUUUGAUUACUUUAGGAGAAAUGGCUCCAAGGUAUGCUUAACCCAAAGGUUUCUCAUGUUUGCCUAUGCUGUAUGCACUGUGUGACAGGAUGCUCUAAAUGCAGGCUAUUUAAUUUGUGUGGAUUUCUCUAGUUUACAGAGUUGAGAUUUCUUCUCAUGUAAGUGAUCUGUUCUGAGUGGGGCAUUUCACAUUAGACAUAUUUCAUAUAUCUAUUGUGCCUUUGAGUUUUGUGAGCUCAAUACCUCCAUUAGGAAAGACACUCUCACAAGAGGGGCACUGCAAUCUCAGUGCCCAUUACAUUUGGUUCAAAACCAAAAGAAACAAUCCUUCUACUUUAUCUGAUGUUUUCCGGCCUGUGGUGCUCUGUGCACUAAAGUCCAUGACACAAUCAUACUGGCAGCUUGUAUCAGAAAAAAGCACAAAAGGGAAGUCUUCUCGUGAAGAUGUGCACAGACUGGAAACAUUCAUUAAAAACAAAAUCUGACAAACAUUUAUAUUUUCCAAAGAUGGUUUCUAAGCUAUUACCUUCACCAGAACGCCAUCAGCACUUACAGACACAAUUCGCAGACACCCGGACGACGCCACUGAAACUCCACAGCUUUGCAUUACACGGAUUUUCAUUUUGUACACAAGUGCAUAUAAUGCAGCUUCUUCAACUGAGAUGCAGCGACGGUAACUAAAGCAGAACACCCCUGGCAAACGCCCAAGGAACACAUUGCAAAAUGUGUUUCAGCUGUGGCCACAUGGCGGCGCCACCGCAGGUAUCAACCUGGUUUUCCUCUGGUUUCCUUUAGUUUCCAUGGGCUUUUGAAGGCAGUCCAAACUUGCACCGAGUGGUUUUUCGUGGCUGUCGUCUUGUUCCUGCUUGUUAGAGCUUAACGAAGCUUGCCAGCGUGCGUUAUGCGAUGAUGUUGUACGGUGAUGAAAAACACAGCAGAAAAAUCAGCUGGGAACGGAAGAGGCGAUAAAACACAAAGAAAUCCCGGAAACGGCUACCAUUUGCUAUUAAAUUUCUGUGCUGCCGUGGGAGUUGGGUCAGAACAUUUAUUGGAGACCUCAGGGGUGUACUAGUGCCCUGCCUCGUGUGGACUGCUGACCCUUGGAGGGCAGGGAUAAAGGAGAACGUGGGAGGACUGAGGACAGGUGAGUGAGUCUGAAGACACUGACUUAUGGCUCCCAAGAGCCUUCUAGUCCUGCUGAACUUCUUAGCACACAAUUUCAAACUUGUUCUGAGUGACUUAACCUUGCUUAUCCAUUGUCAUGGUGGAAACCUGUGUAGCCUCCAAAAGCCUGGUGGCAGGGCUUUGGCAGGAGAUGCCAAGUGUUCUAAUCACCAGUGCGAAUUGAAUGAAACAUGGGGACUGAAUGGUUGAAUGGUUAUCCCCUCGGAAUUUAACAGAAAUACCUUUCUGCCUUUAUAAAUGUAGGUGCGUCCUAGGUUCAUGUUUUUGCCUGAUUCUUGAAAGGUGCCUGCUGACUACUGGAACAGGCCUGACUGGGCUGUGUGUGCGUUUUCUUUUAACAGAAUAACUGGUUCUCCGUUGAGAGUUCAUCUUUGUCUAGCUCAGGGAGAGUGGAGUUCUAGGUUCAGAGGUGAGAGAGAAAUCUGGAGAUCUUUUGGGUAUCUGUUUUAGCAUCUGAUGUGAGAGGUCUGGUCAGGAUCCAGAAGAUAGGCUUGUUCUAGGGAGCCCAGGGUAAUGUCUUACAACAGUCCUGAAGGGACUUAUGUCUGCCUGAAUGGAACUGAGGUGAUGGAAGUUGAGAAGGCUUGAGAAAUUUCUACAGAUGGUUAUGGGGAACUUGGAGAAUUGAAGAAAACCAGUGGUUUAGAGUAAGGCCAUUUGCCAGAGGCGAAGGACAUCUGUGGAGAACAUGAGAAUUCCCUUAGAGAUCUCUGAAAGUAGAGGGGUUGGGUAGCCUUGUCACAACUUGCAGAUGGGUACUCAGAAUGCUUGCCAUAUGAAGGUAGCGAGACCUGACACUUUUGCCUCGAAAGCUGGUGACAAAAUGUUUAUGCCACCAGUAGCUGUGGUCUCCCUCUGCCUUACACUUCCAUAGGUAGCCCAUUUUCAAGACACAAAUAGAUGUCCAGAGAAGUACAUGGGUUUUCUUUCUCUUUCAUAGAACUUGGCCUUUGCUGUCCUGCCAGGCACUUAAGACAUUUCCCAUAGGGGAUGAGAACUUAGCUUCUCUAGGUGUCCCUUUCAGAUUUUCUUCUUGGGGUCCUGGAAGAGAAUGAGAGAGCCCUGUGUACCUCAGACCACAGAGGGUAAGGACUUUCUUUCCCAGGGCAGUGGGAUGACACUAGAGAAUGGGCUAGCAUGGGCUAGCCAUGGCUAUUUUAGGACAGUCAAGACUGCUUAUUAGCUUGGCCCUAUUUCUCUGGAUGAAGAAGUUGAGAAUUUGCCCUUUCUGUUCUAUGGGAACAACUGAAACACCCUGAACUUUGGAAACACUGACCUCCUCAGGUGAUUCUGGGUGGAUUUAGAGAACUUUUCUCAGCAGGACUUGAAACUUACUCUCCUUCAGAGUACUGUUGAGUCCUGGCAAAGUAGGUGGCCUGGUGGGCACAAAAACAGAGGGUCCCGAGUGCUCGUGAAACUGGAAAUGGAAUCUAGGGGAACACACCAUAUUAUGGGAGUCAGUCGAUAGACAAGACUUAACUCCAUUACUUUUCCCAAAAUGUACCAUACCGAAUGUGAAAUGACCAUGACGAUGUGGACUAUCUUCAUGAAAGUUUGUCUCCUCUUUCUGGGGCAUACUUCUGUGUGAGUCUCACUCCAAAGAGCUUUCAUUAUAACCGAUAAUGGAGAGGCGCUUUGACACCAGGAUGAGGUAUUUCUGUAUCUGAACAGCUUCCUUAAUCUUUUCAUUCUUGUAGGUAGGAUGUGAGAAUCAUCCUAGCAGGAUGUUAUAAAGCACUGAGGAUAUGUUAGCUUAACUAACUUCUCUCAUGAAUAAAAUCAGCUAAGGAAUGCUUAACCGACUUAGUUUCCACAAGCCACGCACUUCACUCUGUCUGAAGACCUGUGGGUAAAUUCAUAGCCUUAAAAAGUGUGUGACGCUUGGCGUUUUGUAGUCAGGCAGGGGCCAAUGGCAUGGAAAACUGGAAGUAGCUUGUGUGGUGUUGUUGUUGCCUGACAUGGCUGUGGUGGCUGCUUGGACUGCACAGAGUCACACACCCGUCAGUGAUGGGGACAGAGCUCCAGCCUGACCUCCUGACUCAGGCUGUGACUCACACACAUGCCGUUUUGUACACUACCAGACAAGCUCCCAACUCGAGCAUUCAGGAUGUUGCUGUAGAGUGAGAUGUAGGAGGCCACACUUGCACUCAGAUGUUUAAUUCCUAAGAGACGAUGUGUGAGAGAAGCACCGGACGCCAGGCUUCGAAUGCUACCUCAUGACUGAGAAGCAUCAUUCUGGCACACCGUACUCCCCUUGGUUGUCCCACUGAGAGUUAAUGAGGCACACGUGGCUUUGGUACUCAGAAAACCUUGACACACACUGAAUAUUUUUUUUCCCUGUUUCUCUUCUUUCUAGGCCUUUGUGGCAAACAGUAGAUGUUUAAAAACAAGCUAAUGGUACAUGCUGUGUUAGCUUCUUAUGGAAAGUUAUGGAAGGGAAUGAGAGAGAAGCUCUCACACAUAACUCACUCUAGAGAGCCCCAGUCACCCCCAGGAAAUGCAAACCCUGCUUCCUGGGCUCCCCUCUUAACGCCAGGUCAUCCCAAGGGACACCUGUUUUCCUCAAACCCACUUCCCUGACAGGUUGAUGCUGGCUGAACAUUUUGCAAGACCUGGGCUAGGUCUUGUUAAUUUCAUAUUAUCCCUGCCACCUACCCCGAGUUUCAUCAUGUUUAUUUAGUGAAUACACAGUAAAAAGUCUUAAAAAUGCCCCUGAUUAAUAUAUUUUGGCAGCGAGAAAGGAGACAAAUUAACCAAGCUUUUCCAAUCUCAUCCAAAGUUAACUCGCAAACUCCAUUUUAAGGAAGGGCUUCCUGUGAAGGCUGCCUUGGAAAGCAUUGUGGGCCAAUUCCCCAACCUGUAAUAAACUAUAUGUAUAAAGAUAGCAGUGUUGUUAUACAAUUUAAUUAGUGCAUCACUCAGACAUUUGGACCAAUGCCUGGCUCUUUUCCUGCACGUUCAUUCAGCUUUUAGUCUAACUCCCGCGUGAAAUAAACAAAAAGGCUAAUUGCUUUUGGAUUUUAGCACCGGGUGAAAUACCUGGAUUCAUUAUGUGAAUCAUAUUUUAUAGGUAGAUUAAAGGUUCUAUUGGCAAAUGAAAAAUUCUACGAUGACAGCUGUAACGUUCAAAGGCAAGGCAAUGGAAAGGCCCGUGCUCCCACAGGCAGCAUAUGGACCCAUCUGACAUGCUCCUGGUUCUCAUAGCAGGGUAAAUGUUUGCACACUGAUGAGGACAUUGCUCCUGGCUGGGAAGAAUUUGUGUCAUGGCUCUGAAGCAAUGAUGGGCUGGUAAAGGUUUAAGGAUUUGUGUCCAUCAGGAAAACAAAACAAAAAACAAACCAAACCAAAAACCAAAACAAACCCCCUUUUGUUUGUAAGUUCAGACCGCAGCUGAUCUUAAGGAGUGGGGACCUGACUCUCCCCAGUCCUCUAGCCAGUGCUUCCUGGGGCAUGAGGUGGAGGGAAGGCCUGGUUUCAGAGGCCAGAGCUUGCUUUUAAUAAUCUCUCCAAAAUACAGAUGUUGGUGUGGGGAGUUCUGGAGCGGACCCCUUGUGAGCAUGUUAGGACCCAGCAAACCGGAAUGCCUUCUCAGCUUCCUGAAGAACAAGGCAGGUGGAUGAAGAGGGGUUGCCCCUGACAGCCCUGCUCCUGACCUUGCUCAAGGAAGACCUUCAAUACCCACCUCCAUCUGACUGAGUUCUGUUAAGGAAGAUAACACUCACAUCUUUGGCUCUCUUCACGAGUGGAGUAAGCCUUCCAUUCUUCAAAGGGAGAACUCCCAGAAGCCAGCAGUGCCCUUGACAAAACCAGCUCAAACUCAAGCUGACAAGCACUUGACUGGGACCAUCACAUCAUUCUUCAGUGACAGGGUCCUGAGCAAGAGGGGCCGGGGAUCAGAGGUAAAGAAGAUAAAACAGAGUAAUGCAUUUGAUUUUGAUGAGGCCCAAUGAAAUACACAGGAGCAAACAAGGUCUUUGGGAAAACGAACUCAGAAUAGCUACUUCCAGCUCGUAUCCAAAGGGGAUAGAAUCAAGAAGAAAAGAGUCCGUGGCAUGCUCAGAAAUUUACUGGAAAGAGUCAAGCUGAGAAAACCAUUCAACUGCAAAGACACACUACCUUACCUGGGUGAGGAAGGAUAACUUGGAGAGGAACUGAGAUCCCAAAUUACAGAGCCAGGAACCAUGGAGGAUCCAAGGGACUUCCAACGUUCAGAAGAUGGCUUUCUCAAAUCAAGAAGACCCUCACCAGAACCUGCUGGUAGCCAAUGAGAGUUUCUAGGCUCUGAAACUGUAUUGUUGUGCUCGGAAUGCUGCAGCCUCCAUCUUGAGACUCCACCCAACACCAAUACAGGCAAGAGGAGCAGAGGGUGUCCAACUCCUACACAUGGGCCGCUAAACUUCCCCCAGCCAACCAAAAAGCUGGUUUUUAGUUAAAAAUACUGUCUGCUGAUAAAAGAAAUAAGGAUGAGUGUAUCAUUCAACCCUCAUUGGAGAAGCUUCCUCCUGCAGUAGAUGGGAAUUAGCAGAGACCAACAACUGGACAUAAGUAAUGAGUGAGAGACUUGGAGGCCCUCAGUCCCACAUGGGAGGUCUUCGUCAAAUUCCUUCCCUGAAGGCUUAGGGAGCUAUGUAGAUGAGGAGACAGAAAGAUCGUAAGAGCCAGAGAUGGCGGGUGAUUCCAAGGAACAAUGUCUUCCAGACACAACAGGACUGAUCUACAUGUAAGUUCACAGAGACUGUGAAGCCCACAAAACCUGCACAAGUUCAAACAAGACAAAAUCCCAGCACCGAGAAGGGGAAAUGGACCCAGGUAGAGUCCUAGCCCUAACUAAAGAGCUAUUUGCAAGUGAUGUUUACUGGGAAAGGGAAAAUCCAUUUUCUCUCGUGGAGUGUCACUGGGCAUAUCAGUCA